UAUAGUUGAAAAAAAUGUUGCAUCUUAAUCACUGAUUUAACGCACCACCCGGGCCUGCCAGCACGCUAGUGACCCAAAUCAAACACACCUAUGUAGAUGCAUGACCAGGUGCAUGCCGGGUCAAGCUAACAUGCUAAAUGCGAAAAUGAGCUCGGUGGAUCCUCCAGCGUAUUAAUUCUGGGUUCGCUGAGGAACUUUUACCUUCAGUGAGGGGCGUGAGGAAUUUCUACUGUUGAAUUUGAGGAGCGAAGUGGGACAAAGAGCCUGGUCACAUUAUGCUAAAGCAGAAUGAGGACUUCAGGAGGAGACACACAAAAUGCCGUUCCGAACACCGGAACUCUCACUCCUCCAGUGCCCACCCUUCAUCUUAUUGGGAUAGGACACUUUUUUCCCAGGAAAUAACCGUACCGUGGCUUCCAACAUCCAGGGGCAGCAGAGGCCUGCAUUUACCGGAGGCAGGUCAUCUUUGAGCAAUGACUGUCAAGUGGGACCCUCUUGUUUCCACGAAAAAGAAAACAGCAGUAAGGAACAAAGGACCGAAGUUUAACAGAAAUUCCAAAAUCAUAGU